UAUAUUUUUAUCUACUAUAAACUAAAUCUUUAUACAAAAUCUCUCUCUGCUCUUGCCGCCGCUUAGUGAAAAAUUCCAGAUCGGAGGCUGGAGAGUGGUGGCUUUCAUAGCACCGGCUCUGACCUCUCCCUAGUAGCUUAAUUUUGUUUUAGUUCUUCGUUUUCUUCUUGUUGUGGCUUUGUUUGGAGAAACCUUUCUCCGAAGUUGGAGUUUGUGUUUUCUUCCCAUCUUAUUUGCAGAAUUUCAGAUUUCGUUUGGGGAAUUGUUUAGUUUGUUUCGAUUCUUGAGAUUGGGUGUGUUGAGGAAGCGGUUAGAGUGGCUAGAUCUGUAAGGGUUUCUGUUUACAGUAAAAUUGAUGAUGCCGGAUCUAUUCGAUCUACGGUUGGUUCGAUGAAUAAUGCCAUUGUAUUUUGCUUGUUCCUGUCUCAGUUCUUUAUGCCUUUCUCGGGUCAAUCUAUGUUUUUGCCGUUGGUGUGGUUUGGUUGUUGGUUAGCGUUUGCGCCGUUCACCAUUUGUUUCUCCUUUACACCCCGGUCUCGUCGUAUCAGCUUGCAGUUCUCUUUUGGUUCUUUCCCUUUGUAGGCAGAGGCUUCGUUUGGUUUGAAGUUGUGAAUUUUCUCUAUGUUUGCAGAAUCUCUUCUCCUUGUUGUGGUUCCCUGUGUUUGAUGGCUGGCUCGAGUUUUCGUCUUUCUCGCUUCUGUGAGUGGUGAUUUUCGAGGGCUUAUGCUUCGCUCCUUGUCCUUGCUUUUCAGAUCUGUUGAGAUUGGAUCGCGUUUUGAAGGAUUCUAACUAGACGUCCAUAGGCGUAUCAGACGUCAUCGUCACAUCCAGAAGCUUGUUUGAGGCUCUCUUAGUGUUUUUGCUUGCUGGAUUAUGAUUUCCUUGGUUCUUGGUUUCGAGAGAUUGGCUCUCAUCGUGAUAGGAGGUAGUUGUUGUUGUCUUUGGGUAAGCAGGGGGCACCCUUGAUGAAUCUCUUUUGCAGGAGUUCCAGGAGAAGAUGUUUCCUAGGUUUCAAACCUAUUUGUGUUUGUUCUAUGUUUAAGGGAUUGCCCUCUUUCGAAACUGGUUUGAAAUUUCUUGCUUUGUAAUUCUAGUUGUGAUCCUUGUUUCCCUUUGUUAGGGCCUAGUUUUCGGGGAAGUUUCGUUUUCCUCCGGCUCUUGUCUCCGGGGACUGUUUCGUUGUCCGCUGGCUUUAGCUUCCUUUGUUUGGGCAUUUGUAAUCUCACCAUAAUUUCAUAUCAUGCUUUUCAAUG